rnacentral:rRNA from 1 species
UACGUAGGGGGCAAGCGUUGUCCGGAUUUAUUGGGCGUAAAGCGCACGCAGGCGGUUCGCCAAGUUUGGAGUGACAGUUGUCGGCUCAACCGACAAAGGACUUCAAAAACUGGUGAACUUGAGGACGAGAGAGGAACAUGGAACUCCAGGUGUAGUAGUGAAAUGCGUAGAUAUCUGGAAGAACACCAAUGGCGAAGGCAAUGUUCUGGCUCGUUUCUGACGCUCAGGUGCGAAAGCCAGGGGAGCGAACGGG